rnacentral:tRNA from 1 species
GGCCCCUUCGUCUAUCGGUAGGACGGGAGAUUCUCAUUCUUCAAAGAGGGGUUCAACUCCCCUAGGGGCUA